AGAUAAAAUGAAUCAAAACUUUCAACAACGGAUCUCUUGGUUCUGGCAUCGAUGAAGAACGCAGCGAAAUGCGAUAAGUAAUGUGAAUUGCAGAAUUCCAGUGAAUCAUCGAAUCUUUGAACGCACAUUGCGCCCAUUAGCAUUCUGAUGGGCAUGCCUGUCCGAGCGUCAUUUCAACCCUCAGGCUCGUUAGGUGGCCUGGUCGUGGGGGAUCUGCAGUUGAUCCGCAGGCCCCAAAAGAUAGUGGCGGUGCUCNGUAGCAAUCCGGGCGCAGUGGAAUAUUUUUCUCGCUCAGGAUGUCUUGAGGCCGGCCGGCCGUAAAACAGCGUAAUCGCUAGAAGGUGACCUCGAUCAGG
rnacentral:rRNA from 1 species